CAGGGAGACAACAAAAUGUUUAAUAUUAUUAUUUUGUCACCUUAGGUCGAUCGGUAUCUCACGUUCUUAAACUAAUUAAGAAUUUCAUUCCUAAGUUUUUCUAGGUCACACCCAUUAUUUUUCCUGGGCCAUUAGCUCAGGUGGUUAGAGCGCACCCCUGAUAAGGGUGAGGUCCCUGGUUCAAGUCCAGGAUGGCCCAUAUCUCUAUGUUGGGGGUAUAGCUCAGUUGGUAGAGCGCCUGCUUUGCAAGCAGGAUGUCAGCGGUUCGAGUCCGCUUACCUCCACUGAUUACCACCUCUUCCAUAAUCUGUAGAAAGGAAAUUUUUUGAGUUGUGAUCAAUUUCUGAACGAAUCUAGCUUCCUAAUGAAAGCAUUAAGAUGCUGGACUCAUUGAAUUAAUUUCAUUGUUUUCAGAGAACCUUGACAACUGCAUAGAUUAUUUUUAAAGACAAUAAGCAUCUUUAAUGAUGCAGAUUUAUUAUUUGUGCAAAUGCAUUAAUAACAAUUCUAUUAAGCUGAUGCUUCA
rnacentral:tRNA from 1 species